GAUGAACGCUGGCGGCGUGCCUAAUACAUGCAAGUCGAGCGAACAGACGAGGAGCUUGCUCCUCUGACGUUAGCGGCGGACGGGUGAGUAACACGUGGAUAACCUACCUAUAAGACUGGGAUAACUUCGGGAAACCGGAGCUAAUACCGGAUAAUAUAUUGAACCGCAUGGUUCAAUAGUGAAAGACGGUUUUGCUGUCACUUAUAGAUGGAUCCGCGCCGCAUUAGCUAGUUGGUAAGGUAACGGCUUACCAAGGCGACGAUGCGUAGCCGACCUGAGAGGGUGAUCGGCCACACUGGAACUGAGACACGGUCCAGACGCCUACGGGAGGCAGCAGUAGGGAAUCUUCCGCAAUGGGCGAAAGCCUGACGGAGCAACGCCGCGUGAGUGAUGAAGGUCUUCGGAUCGUAAAACUCUGUUAUGAGGGAAGAACAAAUGUGUAAGUAACUAUGCACGUCUUGACGGUACCUAAUCAGAAAGCCACGGCUAACUACGUG
rnacentral:rRNA from 1 species